rfam:Musa acuminata subsp. malaccensis Doubled-haploid Pahang (DH-Pahang) genomic chromosome, chr6
CGCGAGUUGAAUCUAUUACUACUAAUAUUUUUGUUCAUUAAUUUAAUAUAUUAGUUACCUCGUUGAUGGACGAGUCGUGAUAAAUGAUAUUAGAGUCGGUCUAACAACUCGAGUAGGAAAAUAUUGUGUCUCCGGUGCUGUUACUUAAAAGAAAUUAGAGUGCUCAAAGCAAACCCACGCUCUGGAUACAUUAGCAUGGGAUAACAUCACAAGAUUUCGAUCCUAUUGUGUUGGCCUUCGGGAUCGGAGUAAUGAUUAAGAAGGAUAGUCGGGGGCAUUCGUAUUUCAUAGUCAGAGGUGAAAUUAUUAUAUUUAUGAAAGAUGAACCACUGCGAAAGCAUUUGCCAAGGAGGGAAGGUGUUGCCC